ACUCGAAAACAAUUUGAGAUAUAAAAAAACUGUUUAAAUGUUUUAUAUGCGGAUUUUUCAAAGCUUUCUGAUGAUGCAAGUCAUUUUUGUUGUAAUUGAAUACAAACUUUCACAUUUUCUUGCUGUAAUACAAUUUAAUAGAGGAUAAUCGCUGAUCACCCAUUUUCUCGGUAUUGGGCAAGUUUUUCGCUUGGAAACUUUUUGUUGGUAAUUGAGCAUCUAUGGCACUAUGCAUGCAUUGAACCACAGAAAAUCUAUUCCCCAGGAGGGUGCCACGAAAUUGCUUUUCUUAAUAGUGGAAAACCGGCUUAUGUUUGAUAUGCAAAUUAUCCUCAUUAUGACGUCACAUUGCAUAACGACUUCCCCAGUAUAUACUAUAUGUCGACAGAUUCGAGUCAGUUAUCUAUAAGGGUUAUAAUUUAAAUUUCACAAAGCCUUUAUUUUAUGCAAUUUGACGUCAUAGUUAGAAGAACUUGCGCAUCGAACAUUCUUGUAUAUCUCAAGAAAGAAAUAAGUCAAGAUAGUUUGGCAAAGUAUUUUACUAGUCAUUUUAAAUUUUCUCUAUAUAAAAUUCAAUCAUAAAUCUGAUGAAACGACUUGCAAGUCGUCCAUGCAUGUUUUAAACUGUGAGGCGUAUGGAAAAGAUGGAUAAUGUGGUUUAUUUCUAAUAUACAGCUCAAAAUAAAUAUCGUACAGUCAUAUGCAGCAGUUAAAACGUGCUGGCUAUGACUUGCGUGUCGUUUGAUUUUCGGCAAGUUAUUGUUCCAAGACAAAGUACUUUUAUGAAAAUCUCGAUAAAAGUUUUUUGUGGUUUUCAUAUGUUUCUUAUUAAUCUUUCGCUUAUUCAAUAUGACCUUAUUGCUUGUUAUUAUUACUUAUAAAUUUACUUAUUAUGCAUGGUUAGACAUAAUUCACUGAAAGUCUUUCAGAUACUGAUUCAGUAUUUAAUCUAUAUAAAACAGCACAUAGACAUAGUGCAACUGGUCAAGCAAUUAUACGAUUUCUGAGAUUGGGGUUAAAUCUAGUUUAAUUCAUUGGUGUAAAAUCUUGUCUUUGUUUAAGUAAUA